AAACUUCUUUAUCACCGAGUGCUUGCACUCACCGAUAAAGAGUUGAGUGGCGAACGGGUGAGUAACACGUGGGCAACCUGCCCAAAAGAGGGGGAUAACACUUGGAAACAGGUGCUAAUACCGCAUAACCAUAGUUACCGCAUGGUAACUAUGUAAAAGGUGGCUAUGCUACCGCUUUUGGAUGGGCCCGCGGCGCAUUAGCUAGUUGGUGAGGUAAAGGCUUACCAAGGCAAUGAUGCGUAGCCGAACUGAGAGGUUGAUCGGCCACAUUGGGACUGAGACACGGCCCAAACUCCUACGGGAGGCAGCAGUAGGGAAUCUUCCACAAUGGGCG
rnacentral:rRNA from 2 species